AACGAACGCUGGCGGCAUGCCUAACACAUGCAAGUCGAACGAGACCUUCGGGUCUAGUGGCGCACGGGUGCGUAACGCGUGGGAACCUGCCCUUAGGUUCGGAAUAACUCCCCGAAAGGGGUGCUAAUACCGGAUAAUGUCUUCGGACCAAAGAUUUAUCGCCUUUGGAUGGGCCCGCGUUGGAUUAGCUAGUUGGUAGGGUAAAAGCCUACCAAGGCGACGAUCCAUAGCUGGUCUGAGAGGAUGAUCAGCCACACUGGGACUGAGACACGGCCCAGACUCAGACGGAGAGAAGGGGGGGGGAAUAUGGAACAAGGGGGAAAGGCUUGACCCAGCAAUGCCGGGGGAGGAAGGAGGCCUUUGGGGUUGAAAAGCUUUUUGACCCGGGAGAAAAAUGAGAGGACGGGAAAAAAAGCCCCGGGCAAACCCCGGC
rnacentral:rRNA from 1 species